rnacentral:rRNA from 1 species
UACGGGGGGAGCAAGCGUUGUUCGGAUUUACUGGGCGUAAAGGGCGCGUAGGCGGCGUGACAAGUCACUUGUGAAAUCUCCGGGCUUAACUCGGAACGGUCAAGUGAUACUGUUGUGCUAGAGUGCGGAAGGGGCAACUGGAAUUCUCGGUGUAGCGGUGAAAUGCGUAGAUAUCGAGAGGAACACCUGCGGCGAAGGCGGGUUGCUGGGCCGACACUGACGCUGAUGCGCGAAAGCCAGGGGAGCGAACGGG